UAGUGUAAAAACAAUUUACGGUAUUAUGCCGUAAAAUAACGGUAAAUUCCUGGCGUCCUUGCUGCCAAUAAAAUACUGUUAAUUCACGGUGAAUUUUUUAGAGUGUAGGAACAUUGAAGGUCCUGCAGCAGUCGGAGACAGCAUCUGGCCAGAGGCAAGGCCUGAGCAAUAAGGUUCCUUCAGCCCAUCACCAUCUGCCUUUCCAUGGCCGUCCAAAGAGCUGCAACAGUUUAAGCCAACUAGUCAGCUGACAUGUGGAGAAGCAGCGUGGCGUGGGACGAAGGCGGCUGGUGGUAACGCCAUUAAACGCACGCUGCAGUGCGCCCACACGCAAACAAAGGAACCAAAGCUUUCGCCUCCUUUAUGGGACUUAUGAAACCAAGUCCAUUGCAACAGUAACAGCUUAAGUCAGUCUUACGCAAACUAGGAUUCUACAUUUCAUAUCGGACAGGAUCAAUUUGUGGACUUUCGCUUUCACCUUUUUCCUGCUAUUCAAUGUCAGAACCACAUUGAAUCUAUUUUGAUUUGCAAAACAAUGAAACAGAAUGCUCCAAGGUUGGAGAGUACUUGAGGAAUUGUAUUGUAUUGUAUUGAGGAAAUUGAACUGAAAUCUGGAAUGCCCAUUGAGAUUCAUUAAAAAGGCUGAAUAUGCAGCCCCGGUUCUGUACGGAGCCGGCCCACACACUGGACAACCUCUCGAGGCUCAUCUGGUUUGAUUUAUUGAAAAGACGAUACUGAGAUUGUAUAAAAUGUUGCAGCGUAUUUCCAUGUCGUCCUGUUAAUGUAACAAAACGUGGAGCACUGAUAUUUUUCUCGGAUAUUAAGAAAAGGGAUGAAUAACAGAGGGGAGUUUAUUGCCACGUUCCAUGUAGAUGACGACUUGAGGGUUUUAUUAAUAUGAGACAUCACUUUGAUGUUACAAUGGGAGAUACGCUAACAGUAAUCAACACAUAUUUUUCUAUUUACAUAAAAAUUGUGUCCUUAUUUGUAUCAUCACACUAUAUUCAGGCUCUCUGUGGCGUCUUCUGUGGCUGUUUAUAUGUGGAAAAAAUGAUUACUUCCACACAGCUGAAGCUACCCAUGCCUUUUCCCAGCACCGCUUUCCGAGCCACUCUCCCAAACACGGCCCGCUCAGGGCCAGCUGACCCUUCUCUGCUGUCCUAAACAGCCUCACAAAGUUAUGGCGGUCACAGCGAGGCGGGGCCGGGCCUCCUGCCUGUUUUGUGUGGUAGGGGCUCCAAACUGAGCUCAUCCAGACUCCCCGAUUUCACCUCCCCGACUCAGGCAACCAAGCCGCCUUCAAUCUAUUAAACCCCCUGCAGGAUAUCUACCUCAGAUCUUCAUCCACUCGUUGCCAGAUUGUUGUUUCAACCAACCUGGUAGUGACUGCUCUUGGCUGCUCUGUUGAGUUAUUUAAGAGAUGUAGAUUAAUUGUUUUUUUUUUCAUUUCCUAUGAUCCUUUCUUUGCGUCCUUGCAGUCAUCCAUCCUCCCGGUUCUCCAGUCUGUCUGCCGUUCCCUCCGCCUGGAUUUCCCUGCCAUUCCUUGACCGUCUCCAUAGCUGUUCAUCUGGCAAUAAAUAAGUUCCCCCUGUACUUCCUGGUCUGCCUGCAUUUGGGUCCGCCACCACAUAUCAUAACAACAGCUUUCUUAUAAUUCUCAUAGUUAGUUUUUUAUCAAUAAUAAUUAUCAAUAUGUAUCAUAAUUCUUUUUUCAAUUAGCCUAUUUUCUCAUUGCACAGCUCCCGUCUUUCUCUGUUUGCUAGCUUGUUCUAAAGAGAGCUUUUAUCCAAUCAGAUUCCGCCCGUGUCUCCAUGUAAGAAAGGCCUGAGGUCCUUUGGGGAGACUUUACACAUUAAAGUGCACAGGGACGGUGUUGUUCAUUGUCAUUGUCAUCAACCAAUGAGUUCUUUAGUUUGACAUAAACGUGGCGCAAGAGUAACUUCUGUCAAACAGAAAGCUAGCUAGCAUCUUAGUAUUUAAGGAAGAACUUGCGUUUUUUUACAUCCGCAGUCGUAUUUUUAUUUGUCCCUUGUGUUGUUUUUUUAAUGUAGUUAAUAUUGUUCCCUCUGAUGUAAAUAAUAUUUGAAUGGCCGGUGCUCCCGAGUAUUUCAGGUCCGCAUUUUUGAUGGCUAUAUUUCUCAUGCUUUGUAGUGAAUAAAUGUGACUGGUGCUUGUGAGUUAAUUACAUUGAUUUGUAUAUAUGCAUUGUCCGUUACACUGCAUCCCGUUAUGCGUGUAUUCAUGCAUCUACUUUUAAUGUUACAGUGUUAUGGGAAUAUGAGGUGUUUACAAAGAACAAAUGAAAAUCUGUAACUGUGGCGUCAUAAUGAGAUUAUUGGGUUAUUCAACUGUAAUAAAUGUAAUAAUACGAACAGUGCAUCCGUUUCUAGAUACUGGCUACUUGGGCAGGAAAAGAACAUCAAUGAUAUGUAAUGAAGUGCUGAAUGUGUAGAGGUUGUGUGUGAAACGGCGAGUGCAACAUUUGAUUUUACUGAUCACCUUUGUCCUGAGAAGAGGAACAAUCGGGCCAAUCAGGCUUCAGCUGGAAUACAAAAAUCCGAACAGCGUUUGCCCUCUUCAGCCCACGGAUGAAUACCACUGAUUACAUCUGCUUCCCCCUCAUCUGUUCCCCUUCAAUUGUCUCUGUAAGUGUAACUUCAACAUUCCCAUUUAUCCACAGAAACAGGAAUGUUUCUGCUUCUGGUGUGCAGCACUCACUUGUUUGGAAAACUUAAACAAUGUUUUGUCUUAGUCAUAGUAGUCAUAUUGCCUGAGAACGGCGUAACGUGUGUGUGACCUCCCAGCAGAGAAACCUUGAUGUAUAACUGUGUGUGAUCUCAACUGAUACGCAGACCUUGGCGAAGCCUUGAUAAAUGUCUUGUGUGCAUAUGUCGUCAUUUCGGAGACUAAGAUGCAGACCUUCAACCUUGACGCAUAACUUAUGUGUGUGUGUGUCAUCUCAACUUUGGAGGCCGAGACCGUGAUGAGAGCAGCAGAUGGACGCACGUCUCUGUACAUAUUUCUACUCUGCUCUUACCUGCAAGUAUUUUGAUAAAAGUUCUGUUUAGGGAUUUUUCAACUGGGGUCGAGUGAGAUUUUUCUAACACGAUUGUAAGAGUUCUCUAAUAUCGGUCAUGUCAUCUCAUCGCCAUGCGGCGGAAACAGAACACGUAGAUAAUGGGAGAGCCAAUUAGCGCCCCCUAACCCCCCCCCGGCCCCUCCAUUUCCUCACGGAGAACUCAUUAGCUCUCGCAGAAAAGGACUCGACCGAUGUCGACGGGAGCUGAUGGAUGAGCUCUGCACUCUGCAGGGGGUCACUGUCAGUGCAGAGCGAGGUAGAGGACAGCAGAGAGUAAAUGCACCAUUACCAGCUAGAGCAGAUAGAGCUGACGGGUAAACCUCUCUAGUAACUACAGUGUUUAUUUCAAGUAAAACGAGUGGAUGUUAUACUGUAUGUUGAACUGUGACCUUUGGAGGAAGACUGCAUGCAAGUACACGGCGAAGGAAACCAUGUAGGAUUUAAUAUCCUUUAAGGAAGGGAAUAUAUUCCACACUUUUGUUGCACCUCAGAGAUACUCACACAUACACACGGCGUGUUCAGGUGGCUAACGCUAACCGAGCCAUUUCUCUGCUUAAGAGAAAACCUCCGCCGGGCACCUUGAAGCUGCACUGGCGGGUGCCGACACAGCAGCAAACAAACACUCAUUUCUCGCCUUUUAGUAUUAUUUUUUUUACUUUAAAAUACACAAUCUGAAUUCCAUUUCUGAAGUAACCAAAUCUACAGGAUUCUCAAGUAAAAGCAGGUUUACCAGCCUGCCCAAGGACACUCAGACGUGAGUCUCGCUAACAGAGCAAAAUGCAGCGAGAGACAAAAAGAAAUGUGGGUUUGCACAUUAGUGGGUUGUUUUCUCGGUGAAACAUUGGGGACAAGAGCAAAUUCCUCCAAAGGCAAAACAGCACGCUUUGCCUUUGGAGGAAUCGGCGCCCCGCAGGAGCCGUUUCAUCUGCCGUGACACGGAGCCGAUUGGAAAAAAGUUAAAAGUUUCCCUUUCAUCUCUCCCUCGUCCUCCUCCUCAUCUGACAGCAGGUGUGUGUGUGUGUGUGUGUGUGUGUGUGUGUGUGUGUGUGUGUGUAGCUCAGAAUCGCACUGAACUCUAAUGCAGCAGAUCAUUCUCAUAACUCCUUCGAAUGUUCAGUUUUCACUGUGAGUCUCCCGUUUGAUUUGGCCUCCCCCAAUUACCUCAGAGAGAGCGUAUUAAUAAAUGAAUGCAGAGGCCACACCCACCAAAGAGAGAGAGGAGGUAGAGGAAGAGGAGACGAAGGAGGGAAGGAAACAAACGAGUGUAGUCAUAACACUGCCGAGAGCAAGAAAGAGAGGCUGUGUGUGUGUGUGUGUGUGUGUGUGUGUGUGUGUGUGUAUUGUUUCCUGGCAGUUGUGGAUCUGUGUGUAAGAAUGUACAACCACGGUGUGAAAUAGUACUGUUUUUCGGACUUAUUAUUAUUUUGACUGUGCACAAGUUUAUAUUCUUCUCCCUGCGUGUGUGUCUGUGUGUGCUCUGUUAAACUUAAAAGGUGUUUGUGUGCCUCCGUCGGAGUCUGCAUACUUCUCUCUCAGUGUGCGUGUUUGUAUUAGUUCUCCCUGAUAAUGAGUGUUUGUGUACGACUGCAUUUCUCUCUGUGUGUCUACGGUGUGUGUCUCUGCACCUGUAUGGUGAUUCCUCUCGAGUGCAAAAGUUGUUUGUUUGCUUCAGCUGGCAACACAAAUCAGGGGAGUGGUUGAACAGGACAACAACUGAAUCUCGGCAACAAAAAGACACAGUCCCCCGGCAUCUCAUUUUCAGGCAUACUUGUUAACGCGUGUCACGUUGUGCUGUAAACAAGAGUGUGUGUGUGUGUGUGUCUGCAGUAUCACAGUACCACAGCCCGAGGGGGGCAUAGACCUGAUUAGGGGUGAGUGUUGCGAUGCCGUUCUCGGGGUCCGGACCUCCUUCUGAACGACCCGUGCACGGGAAGUCCUCUGCCAUUGCCAGGGUAACUGGCCCAGGGGGGGGGGUAACAGAUGGGAGGAAGGGGAUUGAGGAGGUGCAGGUAUCAUCAUAAAAUGUUGAAUUUAAAUGCUUAUAUAUGUAUUUAUUCAUGUUGGUUAGUGUUCCGUAUGGACCCUGGUCCUGAGUCCUGCCGGGCCCUGCUUCUUAUAACACCAUUAUUAUCCCAUUACUAUUGCUGUAAACAUUAAUGCGCAUCAUUAACUUUGUUUCUUCCACAGAGCGCGUUUUCUCGCCUCACAGGUUUCCAUGGAUCAUGGUUCUAUCUGGACCCUGUUCCUGCCUUCGGCCAUGGCCCUGCUGACUCCUGCUGCUACUAUCAUCAUUAUUAUUCUAAAUAUUAAUCAAAUUACUAUUACUGCCAUCACAAACCAACAUUACCCACUUUGAUUUUUUCCUGAAAUCUUCUGCAGAUGGUGGUUCUGUCUGCAGUGGUCCUGCCGUACACCUGACUUAAUACUAACAUACUAACGGCCUUUUUUCCUCAAAGGGUUUUUUCUUUUCUGAGGGGCGUUUGUUUUUUUUGCCCAUGGUAAACAGUCUCCUUCUUUAUCGAACAUAUUUUGAAGCCUCAAAUUGACCCGCAUCAGAAUGAUCCCGAUCAUCACUUUACUGCAGCAGGACAGCGUGACACGCAUUUAGAAUUUGGGGGUAAAGUGAGCACUGGUACUAGAUCAGCUAUCGUGUCAGAAAUGCUAUUGAAAUAAAAAAAAGACAAAUGGAUGCUUCCCUAUUUACAGACAUACGAGAUCUAUCCUUUGGCGCCAUCUGGUCUGGAUCAAAUGUUUUGCGCCAUUUGUAGUAAAUGACUGGUUUUGUUGGUCGUCGUUCCUCCACUAAAAACUACUACUCGUACUACCUGACUGGGAUGAGAGUUAACUAUUAACUACUAAGCAUGGGUCACAUGGUUUAUGUCCUCGAAACGUGUUUCUCUGAUAUAGCAGGAACACCGGGGAUGUAAAGAUGGGAGAACUGGCACAGACCUUCCCGCCCUUGGUUACCAGCCAGCAACUCAUCCCGCUUCCUCUCCAGCUGGAGGCCGCUUCACAGCGGACGGCACCAGGCGGAGAACUCUCGACGGCCGACACCACAGGAAACCCGAGGAUCGGGUAAAUCCAGCAGAUGGUCCACGGGUCCGGCUCUGAGCUCAAACAUGACGUUUGUUCAGAGCAAAGAACCAUGCCUUUGGAGGGAGGCUGCCAGUGUGUCUGACGCGGAAAAUGGAAGAAUGGCACAUUCGUGUUACAUUGCUACUCCAACUGCACUGGCAUAGCUGGACACAGUACAACACCAUGAAUGGAAUAGAGCUCGUCACACUGUACGCAGCGCCGACAAAUAAGGAUUCAAGUCGGGGUCCCAACUGCCAUCGACUCACCGCGGACGAGGAGGUGUUCUCUGUCCUUCGGGGCCCCACAGAAGGCCCGAUAACAGAUAGGAGAAUCAACACGGGAGAAAAUAUUCAAUAAAGUGAAUUUCUUUGAAGCAAAAUGAAAGCGAGUUAUUUAGCCCUGAGGCCCCCCAAAAUGGUGGUCGGGAUUGUUUUGGAGUGUUCAAAACUUCACAGCGUCAAACAAUAAACUAACAAGGAAAGAAUAUAAUUGUAAUUGUCACGGUUUGGGUUCAUGUCCUGUUUUAUUUUGUAGUUUUCUGCCUCUUGUCUUCCUGGGUAACUUCACUUCCUGCCUUGUCCUGUGAUUGUCAUGAUUGUUUCCACCUGUGUCCAAUCACCUGCACCUCCCUAGGGUAUUUAAACCAUGUGUGUCGCUUGUCACUUGUUGUGUCAUUGUUAAUUGUACGGAAGCCCAUGUCCACGUCAUAGUUCCUGUUCCUUGACUACAUUUUUGCCUUUUUGGAUUUGAGUUUGGAAUUUUUUACUAUUAAUGUCCCUUUUUGUUUCUGAAAAACUGCGUCUGAUAGUGAUGGCAAAGUGAAGCUUUCCAAACCAGUUUCCAGCCAAUUGUAUCGGAAAAAGGUUCAUUCAUUCAAUGCAUCGCAAACUCUAUG